rnacentral:rRNA from 1 species
GCAGAGUGACAGGUGGUGCAUGGUUGUCGUCAGCUCGUGUCGUGAGAUGUUGGGUUAAGUCCCGCAACGAGCGCAACCCUUGAUCUUAGUUGCCAGCAUUCAGUUGGGCACUCUAAGGUGACUGCCGGUGACAAACCGGAGGAAGGUGGGGAUGACGUCAAAUCAUCAUGCCCCUUAUGACCUGGGCUACACACGUGCUACAAUGGGCAGAACAAAGGGCAGCGAAGCCGCGAGGCUAAGCCAAUCCCACAAAUCUGUUCUCAGUUCGGAUCGCAGUCUGCAACUCGACUGCGUGAAGCUGGAAUCGCUAGUAAUCGCGGAUCAGCAUGCCGCGGUGAAUACGUUCCCGGGCCUUGUACACACCGCCCGUCACACCACGAGAG